rnacentral:rRNA from 1 species
UGGCGGACGGGUGAGUAACGCGCGGGAACGUGCCCUUUGGUUCGGAAAUAGCCUCGGGAAACUGGGAGUAAUACCGGAUACGGUCGGAAGACGAAAGAUUUAUCGCCGAAGGAUCGGCCCGCGUUGGAUUAGGUAGUUGGUGGGUAAAGGCCUACCAAGCCGACGAUCCAUAGCUGGUUUGAGAGGAUGAUCAGCCACACUGGGACUGAGACACGGCCCAGACCCCUACGGGAGGCAGCAGUGGGGAAUCUUAGACAAUGGGGGAAACCCUGAUCUAGCCAUGCCGCGUGAUCGAUGAAGGCCUUAGGGUUGUAAAGAUCUUUCAGUGGGGAAGAUAAUGACGGUACCCACAGAAGAAGCCCCGGCUAACUCCGUG